UUAAGCGACUAAGCGUACACGGUGGAUGCCCUGGCAGUCAGAGGCGAUGAAGGACGUGCUAAUCUGCGAAAAGCGUCGGUAAGGUGAUAUGAACCGUUAUAACCGGCGAUGUCCGAAUGGGGAAACCCAGUGUGAUUCGUCACACUAUCGUUAACUGAAUACAUAGGUUAACGAGGCGAACCGGGGGAACUGAAACAUCUAAGUACCCCGAGGAAAAGAAAUCAACCGAGAUUCCCCCAGUAGCGGCGAGCGAACGGGGAGCAGCCCAGAGUCUGAAUCAGCUUGUGUGUUAGUGGAACGGUCUGGAAAGUCCGACGGUACAGGGUGAUAGUCCCGUACACCAAAAUGCACAGGUUGUGAACUCGAAGAGUAGGGCGGGACACGUGGUAUCCUGUCUGAAUAUGGGGGGACCAUCCUCCAAGGCUAAAUACUCCUGACUGACCGAUAGUGAACCAGUACCGUGAGGGAAAGGCGAAAAGAACCCCGGCGAGGGGAGUGAAAAAGAACCUGAAACCGUGUACGUACAAGCAGUGGGAGCACCUUCGGGUGUGACUGCGUACCUUUUGUAUAAUGGGUCAGCGACUUAUAUUCUGUAGCAAGGUUAACCGUAUAGGGGAGCCGCAGGGAAACCGAGUCUUAACUGGGCGUUAAGUUGCAGGGUAUAGACCCGAAACCCGGUGAUCUAGCCAUGGGCAGGUUGAAGGUUGGGUAACACUAACUGGAGGACCGAACCGACUAAUGUUGAAAAAUUAGCGGAUGACUUGUGGCUGGGGGUGAAAGGCCAAUCAAACCGGGAGAUAGCUGGUUCUCCCCGAAAGCUAUUUAGGUAGCGCCUCGUGAACUCAUCUUCGGGGGUAGAGCACUGUUUCGGCUAGGGGGUCAUCCCGACUUACCAACCCGAUGCAAACUACGAAUACCGAAGAAUGUUAUCACGGGAGACACACGGCGGGUGCUAACGUCCGUCGUGAAGAGGGAAACAACCCAGACCGCCAGCUAAGGUCCCAAAGUCAUGGUUAAGUGGGAAACGAUGUGGGAAGGCACAGACAGCCAGGAUGUUGGCUUAGAAGCAGCCAUCAUUUAAAGAAAGCGUAAUAGCUCACUGGUCGAGUCGGCCUGCGCGGAAGAUGUAACGGGGCUAAACCAUGCACCGAAGCUGCGGCAGCGACACUAUGUGUUGUUGGGUAGGGGAGCGUUCUGUAAGCCUGCGAAGGUGUGCUGUGAGGCAUGCUGGAGGUAUCAGAAGUGCGAAUGCUGACAUAAGUAACGAUAAAGCGGGUGAAAAGCCCGCUCGCCGGAAGACCAAGGGUUCCUGUCCAACGUUAAUCGGGGCAGGGUGAGUCGACCCCUAAGGCGAGGCCGAAAGGCGUAGUCGAUGGGAAACAGGUUAAUAUUCCUGUACUUGGUGUUACUGCGAAGGGGGGACGGAGAAGGCUAUGUUAGCCGGGCGACGGUUGUCCCGGUUUAAGCAUGUAGGCUGGUUGUCCAGGCAAAUCCGGAUAAUCAAGGCUGAGGUGUGAUGACGAGGCACUACGGUGCUGAAGUAACAAAUGCCCUGCUUCCAGGAAAAGCCUCUAAGCAUCAGGUAACAUCAAAUCGUACCCCAAACCGACACAGGUGGUCAGGUAGAGAAUACCAAGGCGCUUGAGAGAACUCGGGUGAAGGAACUAGGCAAAAUGGUGCCGUAACUUCGGGAGAAGGCACGCUGGUGUGUAGGUGAAGCCCCUGCGGGUGGAGCUGAGACCAGUCGAAGAUACCAGCUGGCUGCAACUGUUUAUUAAAAACACAGCACUGUGCAAACACGAAAGUGGACGUAUACGGUGUGACGCCUGCCCGGUGCCGGAAGGUUAAUUGAUGGGGUUAUCCGUAAGGAGAAGCUCUUGAUCGAAGCCCCGGUAAACGGCGGCCGUAACUAUAACGGUCCUAAGGUAGCGAAAUUCCUUGUCGGGUAAGUUCCGACCUGCACGAAUGGCGUAAUGAUGGCCAGGCUGUCUCCACCCGAGACUCAGUGAAAUUGAACUCGCUGUGAAGAUGCAGUGUACCCGCGGCAAGACGGAAAGACCCCGUGAACCUUUACUAUAGCUUGACACUGAACAUUGAGCCUUGAUGUGUAGGAUAGGUGGGAGGCUUUGAAGCGUGGACGCCAGUCUGCGUGGAGCCAACCUUGAAAUACCACCCUUUAAUGUUUGAUGUUCUAACGUUGGCCCCUGACCGGGGUUGCGGACAGUGUCUGGUGGGUAGUUUGACUGGGGCGGUCUCCUCCCAAAGCGUAACGGAGGAGCACGAAGGUUAGCUAAUCCUGGUCGGACAUCAGGAGGUUAGUGCAAUGGCAUAAGCUAGCUUGACUGCGAGCGUGACGGCGCGAGCAGGUGCGAAAGCAGGUCAUAGUGAUCCGGUGGUUCUGAAUGGAAGGGCCAUCGCUCAACGGAUAAAAGGUACUCCGGGGAUAACAGGCUGAUACCGCCCAAGAGUUCAUAUCGACGGCGGUGUUUGGCACCUCGAUGUCGGCUCAUCACAUCCUGGGGCUGAAGUAGGUCCCAAGGGUAUGGCUGUUCGCCAUUUAAAGUGGUACGCGAGCUGGGUUUAGAACGUCGUGAGACAGUUCGGUCCCUAUCUGCCGUGGGCGCUGGAGAAUUGAGGGGGGCUGCUCCUAGUACGAGAGGACCGGAGUGGACGCAUCACUGGUGUUCGGGUUGUCAUGCCAAUGGCACUGCCCGGUAGCUAAAUGCGGAAGAGAUAAGUGCUGAAAGCAUCUAAGCACGAAACUUGCCCCGAGAUGAGUUCUCCCUGAGACUUUAAGUCUCCUGAAGGAACGUUAAAGACGAUGACGUUGAUAGGCCGGGUGUGUAAGCGCAGCGAUGCGUUGAGCUAACCGGUACUAAUGAACCGUGAGGCUUAACCUU
rnacentral:rRNA from 2 species